rnacentral:rRNA from 1 species
UACGCAGGCUGGCAAUUAAGUCAGUGGUGAAAUCCCACCGCUCAACGGUGGAACUGCCAUUGAUACUGGUUGUCUUGAGUGCAGUAGAGGUAUGCGGAAUGUGACAUGUAGCGGUGAAAUGCAUAGAUAUGUCAUAGAACACCGAUUGCGAAGGCAGCAUACUGGACUGUAACUGACGCUGAGGUACGAAAGCGUGGGGAGCGAACAGGAUUAGAUACCCUGGUAGUCC